rnacentral:lncRNA from 1 species
GGGGAUGGCAGAUACAGACUGACCACUGAGUCACCACCCUGUGCUGGGCUAUAGAAGCUCUUGCCGCCCCCACCCCCGACCUGCCCUGGGGUUUGGACUACCAAGGAAGUUAAUUUGGGAGUUCUUGGGUCAAAGCACCCCAAGAUGGGUUUGGCAAUCUGUCCUCAGUGGCUUAUUGAAGAGACAAGUCAGUGAGAAGCAGAGAAGGGAGAGUUACUCAAUGUGACUACUUGUGAAGAACAAAUAAGGAGGCGUAGUGACACCCUAAGUCCAUCUCUGGGGUACUAGCACGAAGCUUAACUCCAAAUAGAAGGGUGAGCACCAUGGCUAGGAGGUCAUAGUGUGAUCUUCCUUGCUCAGCUGGCAGAAGUGGAGACAGAUCACAUGGCGGCUCCAUGGAGAAGAGAGGAGAAAGAGGAAGAGAAAGAGAGCAAUUUCUUGCUUGUCCCUGCUUAUAUUCUGAGUCUGCCUGCUAUGUCACUUCCUGCCUGGAUCACAAGACUUAUCUUUACUACAUUUCCCAGAAUCCUCCUUGACUCCUAGUCCCACCUAACUUGCUUCCUCAUUGACUCCUAGUCCCGCCUAACUUCAUUCCUCACUUUAUUCAACAACCAAUAAGAUAAAUAUACACAGAAGAACUUGCUGUAUCACACUCCCAAACUCAUCUAUGUCAACCCCACACCCCCCCAAACUUAUCUAUGUAACCCCACACCCCCAAACUCAGGGAACAUGGUGGGAAAGGAGGUAAAAAGACGAUGAGAUGGAGGGUGGGGAUGAGUGUUGUGAAAUGCUGCCUCUGGGCACAUGGCGGUGACUUUCGUGGACUUGCAGCAGCUGCAGGUACCUGCACAAGAUCAAGCUGGUCCGCAUUCCAUCAGGGAUGGGAGGGCUCUGCUCCUCUCUGGGGAGCUAUUUGCAGUUAAUGGCAGCUGGAGGAGCGGGGUUAUUUUUCUUCAGUGAUGUAGCUUAGCUAUUGGUUAAGCCGCUCAUGCUCCUGUGCAUGGUCCCACACCCACACGCAUGCAAGAAACACUAAUUAAACUCUGUGUCGUAAAAAGAGGUCACACGUGUAGGAGGGUGAUGACUUCUUGAAGGGACCCAGAGGGAGCUGGAGGGGGACUAAGAAAGGGUAAUGGAGG